ACACAUUUUUAACACUGUUGUUUUGCAUCAGCAAAGAAAUUUACACAAGUACUACAUCAAACUGAUUCAGUGUCGUCCCCCCCAACAGAUAUGGCCUUGUUAUUUUUGGAGGGAUUGAUGGCUUCUCACGAAAGAUCAUGUACCUAGGUGCUGCGACCAAUAAUAAAGCAUCCACUGCACUUGAUUUCUUCAUGGAGGCAGUGCAGAAGUAUGGCUUUCCAUUAAGAGUAAGAGGUGACCAAGGAGUGGAAAACGUUGGUGUUGCGCGAUGCAUGUUCACCAUUAGAGGCUGUGGAAGGGGGAGUUUCCUGUCAGGAAAGAGU